UACGUAGGGACCGAGCGUUGUCCGGAAUCAUUGGGCGUAAAGAGCGUGUAGGCGGCCAACUAAGUCCUGCGUGAAAUCUCGGGGCUCAACCCCGAGCGGUCGUGGGAAACUGGUUGGCUAGAGUGCGGGAGAGGAGAGUGGAAUUCCUGGUGUAGUGGUGAAAUGCGUAGAGAUCAGGAAGAAUACCCGUGGCGCAAGCGCCCACCUGGCCGAGACCUGACGCUAAGGCACGAAAGCGUGGGGAGCGAACCGG
rnacentral:rRNA from 1 species